GGGGAAGAAAUUCGGAGUCGCUCCAACCCCUGUGACAUACCUUAUGUUGCCUCGGCGGAUCAGCCCGCGCCCCGUAAAAAGGGACGGCCCGCCGCAGGAACCCUAAACUCUGUUUUUAGUGGAACUUCUGAGUAUAAAAAACAAAUAAAUCAAAACUUUCAACAACGGAUCUCUUGGUUCUGGCAUCGAUGAAGAACGCAGCAAAAUGCGAUAAGUAAUGUGAAUUGCAGAAUUCAGUGAAUCAUCGAAUCUUUGAACGCACAUUGCGCCCGCCAGUAUUCUGGCGGGCAUGCCUGUUCGAGCGUCAUUUCAACCCUCAAGCCCAGCUUGGUGUUGGGAGCUGCAGUCCUGCUGCACUCCCCAAAUACAUUGGCGGUCACGUCGAGCUUCCAUAGCGUAGUAAUUUACAUAUCGUUACUGGUAAUCGUCGCGGCCACGCCGUUAAACCCCAACUUCUGAAUGUUGACCUCGGAUCAGGUAGGAAUACCCGCUGAACUUAAGCAUAUCAAUAAGCGGAGGAA
rnacentral:rRNA from 1 species